rnacentral:rRNA from 1 species
UACGGGGGUUGCAAGCGUUGUUCGGAAUUACUGGGCGUAAAGAGAGCGCAGGCGGCCAGGUCAGUCUGAAGUGAAAGCCCGGGGCUCAACCUCGGAAGUGCUUUGGAUACUGCCUGGCUUGAGUAUGUGAGAGGAAAGCGGAAUUCCAGGUGUAGCGGUGAAAUGCGUAGAUAUCUGGAGGAACACCAGUGGCGAAAGCGGCUUUCUGGCACAUUACUGACGCUGAGGCUCGAAAGCGUGGGGAG